GAUGAACGCUGGCGGCGUGCCUAAUAAAUGCAAGUCGAGCGAACAGACGAGGAGCUUGCUCCUCUGACGUUAGCGGCGGACGGGUGAGUAACACGUGGAUAACCUACCUAUAAGACUGGGAUAACUUCGGGAAACCGGAGCUAAUACCGGAUAAUAUAUUGAACCGCAUGGUUCAAUAGUGAAAGACGGUUUUGCUGUCACUUAUAGAUGGAUCCGCGCCGCAUUAGCUAGUUGGUAAGGUAACGGCUUACCAAGGCAGCGAUGCGUAGCCGACCUGAGAGGGUGAUCGGCCACACUGGAACUGAGACACGGUCCAGACUCCUACGGGAGGCAGCAGUAGGGAAUCUUCCGCAAUGGGCGAAAGCCUGACGGAGCAACGCCGCGUGAGUGAUGAAGGUCUUCGGAUCGUAAAACUCUGUUAUUAGGGAAGAACAAAUGUGUAAGUAACUAUGCACGUCUUGACGGUACCUAAUCAGAAAGCCACGGCUAACUACGUG
rnacentral:rRNA from 1 species